rnacentral:piRNA from 1 species
UAGUCCCAUCUUUACUUCACC